GCAGUUGGUCCUAUGGACAGCAGCUGGCUUGAGCCCUUGGGACAUUCCCAAUGCUGGGGUGACUCCUGCUUCCAGAGUUGGGGUUUGGGUGGUCUGCCAGCCGUGGGUCCAAGGGUGCUGAGGCAGUCUGCUUUCAAGUAGAAAGGCCCUGGGCAAGGUGCUGGAAUGCAGGCCCUGGGUUUGCCUUUGGGGAGGGGCCAGGUUGGCACUCCUGGCUACAUCCCUGGCCACAAAUUGUCCCAUCGGAAGGGAAUGCCCAGGGGCCCUUGGCUGACCUGUAGAGCACCAUACGGUCCUGACCACCCUGCUGCUUUCUGCUGUGUCACAUGGCUGACCCGGGAUUGCUGUCCAGUGUGGCUGCCAGGAGCUGGUGCUGCGGUUGACUGCCAUUCCUGUCUGAUCCUGCCGUGCCCUGGUGCCGUUUGUUGGAGAGGCCCAAGUCUGUGCUGGUGGAGGACCCUGGUGCGAGCUGGGAAGCUGGCAGUGGGGGUUACAGUUUCCCAUGGGACACGCCUUCCCUUGGCUCACGGUGCCAUCGUGGCCCCUGGAGUGGACACUGCCGUGCAGGUGUCCACAGGCACUUCUGCGCAGCUUGCCUCCCUUUUCCCUUAUCUGAUACUCAGCUCCUAGUUUCUUUUCUGAUGGCACCAGUCUCUUCAUCUUUGUAGUCAUACAUGUGAGAGCGUCUUUGAAAGUUGAACAUCCAGAUGGUUAAAAAUGGGCUUGUUUCUGUUUGGACUGUGGUGUAUGGGGGCCGCUUGACCUGACCAUUUUUGUACCAGAGAGAUGUGUGGUUCAGCCACAUCAGAAUGUCCUGUUGAUUCUUGACCAACCUUUAAUUCUUAUCUGCUUCGGUUGCCAUCUGAGCUGCUGACUCAUUCCUGUAUUUCUAGCUGUAGCCCUGCUUCAAAACCACAGGCCGAAAACCUGCACCCACGUGGAUCUCCAUCUGGGCAUGUCCGGUUCCUGGGAGCUGCCCUAGCAAGCUGGGCGGCUCGGUCCUGUAGGCCAGAAGCCUCAUCUCAGGGUGGCAGGACCGUGCCCCCCUCCAAGGCACUGGGAGGCGUGUAAGGCCUUUUGCCUUGUAGAUGCAUCACAUGGUCUCCCCUCUGGAAAGGCUGGUCCCCGGCCGACCAAAUGUCCUUUCCGAAAGGACACGGUCCUUUUGGUUAGCCCACCCCCACCCCAUGAAUCAUUUUGAUUGGAUUAUACUUCUUUUCAGAGGACACAAUUCAAUCCAUGACAACGUCUGAAACCUGCCUUCCCCAAGCCUGUUCUGUGUGCUGAUUUUCUUCAAUGGCGUCAGCCCCUGAUCAGCCUCCCAAAUCAGGCCACGGCUGUGCUGGGCCUCCUCCCUUAUGCCCUCAGUCCGUACCUGGCUCCUGGCCCUGCCGCCCUCUGUUCCCCGCGGUGCCACUCCAGGCACCCCCCGCUGGCCCCAUGCCCCUGCACUGCCGUCCUGGCAGCAGGCAGGCCUUCCUGCCCCAUGGGCGGCCGCCUAGGUGGACGGAGGCCUGCCUCGAGUCCUGCCUCGGCUGCCCAGGUCCUUCGCACACCUCCACUUGACACGACCCUGCUUUCCGCCUCCGCUGACCUCUCAGAACCCCCUUCCGGCGCCCCGCGUCUCCCACCCGAGUACCGGGAGGGCCGCUGCGGUCCGCCGGCCGGCAGGGGGCGCCGGGGCCCGGCUUGCCCAGUGAGCCAGGGUGGCCGGAAGUGCUGUCCCGGAAGGGGGCGGGCGCGCGGUUGCGGAAGUGGGGAGUACCGGGCUGAGCAGUCUUCGGCUUGCAGCAGCUCUAGCGCCCCGGCCUCGCAGCACCCUCGACCCGCUCUCAACCUGGCUUCGUCACUCCGCCUCCGCUGCCCGGUCGCCGCCGAGUCCGUCGACUACUGGGCAGCGGGCAGCCGUAUCCGGCUGUUACAGGCGGUCGACACGGAGUACACCGCGGACUCGGUGGAGUGGUGCCCGCUGGACGGCUGCAGGCACUUGCUGGCGUGCGGCACCUACCAGCUGCGGAAGCCGGGGGACCAGCCCGCCGGCCCGGGGAGCAAGAGCGAAUUGGACGUUGAUGAGCCUCAAAUCCGUUUAGGUCGUCUUUAUCUGUAUAGUUUCAGCGAGGACAGCGCUGCUUGCCCCCUGGUUGAGAUCCAAAGAAGAGACACUUCUGCAAUCCUGGAUCUGAAAUGGUGCCACAUCCCAGUGGCCAGCCAUGCCCUCUUGGGUGUGGCAGAUGCUGGUGGGACCAUAGAGCUGCUCCGCUUGGUGAGAUCUGAGAACACUUACACACUGCAGCCGUUUUCCCACCUCGCCCUGGAGAAGCAGUGUCUGGCCUUGUCCCUGGACUGGUCUACUGGGAGAACUGGAAGGGCCAGUGACCAGCCCCUGAACAUCGUUAGCAGCGACUCCACGGGACAGCUGCACCUCCUGAAGGUAGAUGACACUGCGCUGCGGGGUGUGGCCACGUGGCAGGCCCACUGCUUUGAGGCCUGGAUUGCUGCUUUCAAUUACUGGCAGACAGAAAUCGUGUACUCAGGUGGGGAUGAUGGUCUUCUGAAAGGCUGGGACACCAGGACACCUGGCGCACCUGUGUUCACCAGCAAGAGACACUCCAUGGGUGUGUGCAGCAUCCAGAGUAGUCCCCACUGGGAAAACGUCUUGGCCACGGGGAGCUAUGACGAGCACAUUCUGCUGUGGGACACACGGGCCAUGAAGCAGCCGUUUGCGGACAUUCCUGCGCAGGGUGGUGUCUGGAGGCUCAGGUGGCACCCAUACCACCAGCACCUACUUCUGGCAGCAUGUAUGCAUGGUGGCUUCAAGAUCUUCAACUGCCAAAAGGCAAUAGAUGAGUGAAAUCAUUUGGUACUUGUCUUUCUCUGCCUGGCUUAUUUCACUGAGCAUAAUACCCUCUAGCUCCAUCCAUGUUGUUGCAAAUGAGGAGAAGCAGGAAGUGUGCACAGUCUCUGGGUCCCACCCGUCGCCCGACUCGUUGGUGUAUGGAGCCGACUGGUCC